AAUAAGUGCAGUUUUAGCACUGUUCAUGUCUAGCAUUUAACCGUUUGUCUUAUUUGAAAAAAAAUAUGAUUAAUAUUUUUAUUGCUAUUAUAUGAUAAAACAUGAGUAGUACUUUAUAUGUGACUAAUUUUUAUUUAUUUUUUUCAUAAAUUUUUCAAAUAAGACGGACGGUCAAAAACGCUAAACACAGAUAUCUAUGGCUGCACUUAUU
rfam:Oryza glaberrima chromosome 12 Oglab12_unplaced045_8, whole genome shotgun sequence.